rnacentral:rRNA from 1 species
UACGUAGGGUGCAAGCGUUGUCCGGAAUUAUUGGGCGUAAAGGGCUCGUAGGCGGUUUGUCGCGUCGUCCGUGAAAACUGGAGGCUCAACCUCCAGCCUGCAGUGGGUACGGGCAGACUAGAGUGCGGUAGGGGGAGAUUGGAAUUCCUGGUGUAGCGGUGGAAUGCGCAGAUAUCAGGAGGAACACCAGCAGCGAAGGCGGUGGUCUGGGCCGACAUUGACGCUGAGGAGCGAAAGCGUGGGGAGCAAACAGG